rnacentral:lncRNA from 1 species
CAAAACAAGGUAAAAGGGGUCCAAAUAACUUAGCCCUUCAAGGAGUAUGAGUACAAAUCUUUUAUAGUACUAGUACAGUUAGUUUUUUCAACAUAAAUUCGUAAAUAAAGCAUCAAAAAAUUUUACGAAUAAAAUCUGCAGCCUACGCGUUGUCGAAGAGUUCUUAUAUCUGCCAAGAAAAGCGAUCAAAUCUUAAUUGUAUUAAAAUCAUACGCAUUCUUGCCACAACACAACACAAAACUUCAACCUUUAUCCUAGAAAAACCCUUCCGCAGACCCUAUAUUUACAAACUGCAUGUACUUUUUGUUGUUUUCGUGGUAACUCAAAACCACAACAGUUUGUGUUGUAAAUUUUAUAUCGUACCUUUUAUGGCAGCACAAAGCAACUGCACACGCCGCCUCAUUUCACACCGGUUAGUACCGAAAUUUCCCUUUCACUCUCGUACUCAACUAAGCACAUUACAACUCUCCGCCCGCUCCCUCUCUAACUUGAAUAGAACAUCUUCAACUUAAAUUGUUGGCUGCGAUGUAUUGUAUUGUAUUGUUGCUUUGCCUAACUGCUUUCUUCAACGUUGUUGUUGUGCGUAUUUUUUCGUUGCGCUUGACUGCUGUCAAAUUGCUGUCAACAUGGCGCUCAGCGUAAUUUGACAACCAGCAACCAACACUGACACCCACUUGCGCUCUUCAAGCAUUGAAGGGCUACCGUGUCACGCUCUUUUCAGCGGGGGCGCUGCUUUGCUAUUGUUGGUGUUUUUUUUCAUUUUUGGAGGAAUUUUAUUGCACCUUUUUCCUCGUCGGCACUUUCUCGCUUAUCAAUUGUCUGUCUGAGUUUCUUGUAAACCCGUUAGCUAAGCAAACGAAAAUUUUCUUCAUUUUAUUUUGCCGCCACACUCAAUCUCGCUUCACGCUUUGACAGUUUGUUAUUGCUGCUCAUAAAAGUGCGAUUUUUUAUUUCAAAUAUUUUGGCAGUUUUUUGCAUGCUUGCCUCUUACACAAUUUGUCGCUUUGGCGGCGCAUUCACUUGUUGUCUUUUUAUCUGUAAUUCGUAAAACAAUUUUCUUUUUCGCUGCUCGCUUGUCGCUGCUGUCAAAUCACACUUUAAUUUGCUGUCAAAUGCGUUGAAGGGUAGUGAUUAUCAGCGCUCAAUCAAGCGCUUUUACUCUGCGCUCCAACACACCUAUAUAGUCGCCCGCACUCUUUACGCUCUAUCGCUCUGUCAGCCGCAUACGUUGACGUUUAUUGCGCGCCCGCGAACAGCUGAUAUUGACGGCAGCCGCAUAUCAGCUGUUGAUAGCGCAUAAAUGCUGUGGCUAAUAAAAAAUUUACGCGCUGGGAAUUUACAGCGCGGACAGUAUGCGUUGCGUAGGUGUUGUAGUCUCUGUUCUUUUUUUCAAAUUUUGACACGCUUCAGCGCCGUUUUAUACAGUCAAUCAUUUUGACAGUUUAAAUUGUUAUGCGCUGUGAAAAUUCAUAUGAGUAUUAACUGAAGAUUAUCAUAACCGUGUGUUAUGCUGCGUGUCACUUCAAGCGGCGAUUUGUGUUGUUGGGAUUUAUUGACAGUUAAAUUGAGCGUAAUUAUGUUGACUUUGCUAAUCAAGUAUUUUUUAAGUUUUCAUUAUUUCUUGCCUUAUGGAUUGGCUUGCAGUUAGCCUAAGAAAAAGGAAUAAGAACUCGCAGCAAAAUGUCUAAUACGUGAAGAACUUAUAUUACAUACAUUACAUAUAAGUAUAAUCAUUCAUGAAAGUCAAAUGGACCCCACGAAACAUAAAACAUCGAUUAGAUAGGGAAGACGAUAAAAUUGAAGUAAUAAAAAGCUUAGGACCAAGGCUCGAAGAGAGGAGAGUGAGGAAGUCAGUUGAAGGACUAUACUUUAAGCACUAAAAAAAAUUCAUGGCCGGAAAGAGGUCGUACAUAACAAAGUAACGUCGAGUAAUUAUGGAUUCAACUUGAAGCAGUAAUAAGGAAAACAAGUACAAAAUCAAAAACUAGAAGAUAUCUAAGUAGUUAGACUAAUAGAGUACUAGACGGGGAAAUUUAAAGAAAAAAAGCAAACGUGACGUGGAAUAUGAGCCGCAUAUGCCGACUAUUGAAAUUCAAAUGCAAUGAUACAAGAACUCAAUUAAAAGUUGGCCGAUAUGUCAGUCGAACAGGAACGCCAUAUAACGACUUUUGUAGAAGCUAUCAGGACGUCGAAGUAGAGGAAAUUGUAAAACAUUUUCUAUGUGAAUGUCAUCUGUAUGAGAAAAGAAACCAAACUAUCUUGAGGAUAUCUCGGAGAUUGCACAGAUAAAACAUUUUAUAUUGAUGAACUUCAUCAGAAGCACGGGGUGGUUUAGGGAGUGCGCGACUUUAAUAGUAACAAUGGGCCCACCCCUUAAGCCUAGGUGCUUCGUUAGACAGCCAAUAUUACCUACCUAUCUACCUAAGAAAGAUAUUCAAACUCAGUCAUUAGAAAAGUUUUAAACGCUUGAGUUAAACAUAUCAUUAAAAGUGAAAAUUAUGUUUCGUGGUCCUCAGAUUUUAAGCUAAGCAAAUUCGAAGGAUGCAUGAAGAAAAGCGUCAAUGUCAAUAAAAGAGUAAAAAAUAUGUUUCAGCGCUUUAACGAUUAUAAGGGGCGUCAACUCAGCAAGUAACACACUUUAAAGAAUAAAAAAAUUUAUUAACAGCAUUAACAUAAAUUCCUUCGAAUUAAGAAUUUAAAUGUUUAAAAAUUUUACAUCGGUAAAAUAAUUACAAGUUUGAUUAUUUUCAAUUAUUUUGGUUUCCCACUUCAGCGCGCCCAGCUUUAUCACCUCACAUUAGUGUUAAUAAAGAGCAAAUAAAUCUGACAGCCCUUUUACAUUCAUGAUGCUCAUCUAAAUGACCAAAUAACUCACUUGCUAUGCUGAUUUGGCUCAAUAAAGAUAAAAUUUUACGACCACAAUGAAAAAUAAAUAAAAAUUUAUUUCAAAAUGUGUAAACAAAGAGACAAAUAGAGUAGAAAAGAGCGAAGAAAUAUGUCCGCUUGACAGUAUUAUUAACAUUAGUCAACACGCCCACGCACACAGCACGGGCAUUAUUUGAGAGAGCGAGUUAACUAAAGCGCCAUAAUAAUCAAGCGGUAAAAAUCACAAACGUCAAAGUGAAAGUUCAAAAGGUUGCCAAGUGAGCGACGACCCCAAAAGAAUGAAAGCAUAAACACACCAAACAAAUAAGCGACGACACAAAUAAAACCACAAUCGGCAGCUAAAUAAGAUAAUACGCAGAGGAGAGUGAAAAAUAAACAAAAAA